UACGUAGGGUCCGAGCGUUGUCCGGAAUUAUUGGGCGUAAAGGGCUCGUAGGCGGUUUGUCACGUCGGGAGUGAAAACUCAGGGCUCAACCCUGAGCGUGCUUCCGAUACGGGCAGACUAGAGGUAUGCAGGGGAGAACGGAAUUCCUGGUGUAGCGGUGGAAUGCGCAGAUAUCAGGAGGAACACCGGUGGCGAAGGCGGAUCUCUGGGCCUGUUCUGACGCUGAGGCGCGAAAGCUAGGGGAGCGAACAGG
rnacentral:rRNA from 1 species